rnacentral:rRNA from 1 species
AAGAGACAGCAGUAGCCACGGGAAUACGUAGGUGGCAAGCGUUGUCCGGAAUCAUUGGGCGUAUAGGGAGCGCAGGCGGGCAUGUAAGUCUUUCUUAAAAGUUCGGGGCUCAACCCCGUGAUGGGAAAGAAACUACAUGUCUUGAGUACAGGAGAGGAAAGCGGAAUUCCCAGUGUAGCGGUGAAAUGCGUAGAUAUAUGGAGGAGCACCGGUGGCGAAAGCGGCUCUCUGGCUUGUAACUGACGCUGAGGCUCGAAAGCGUGGGGAGCAAACAGGAUUAGAUACCCCCGUAGUCCCUGUCUCUUAUACA